UACGUAGGGGGCAAGCGUUGUCCGGAUUUAUUGGGCGUAAAGAGCGUGUAGGCGGUUUGGUAGGUCCGCUGUGAAAACUCGAGGCUCAACCUCGAGACGCCGGUGGAAACCGUAAAGCUAGAGUCCGGAAGAGGAGAGUGGAAUUCCUGGUGUAGCGGUGAAAUGCGCAGAUAUCAGGAGGAACACCCGUGGCGAAAGCGGCUCUCUGGGACGGUACUGACGCUGAGACGCGAAAGCGUGGGGAGCAAACAGG
rnacentral:rRNA from 1 species